rnacentral:rRNA from 1 species
GAUGAACGCUGGCGGCGUGCCUAAUACAUGCAAGUCGAGCGAACGGACGAGAAGCUUGCUUCUCUGAUGUUAGCGGCGGACGGGUGAGUAACACGUGGAUAACCUACCUAUAAGACUGGGAUAACUUCGGGAAACCGUAGCUAAUACCGGAUAAUAUUUUGAACCGCAUGGUUCAAAAGUGAAAGACGGUCUUGCUGUCACUUAUAGCUGGUUCCGCGCUGCAUUAGAUAGUUGGUAAGGUAACGGCUUACCAAGGCAACGAUGCAUAGCCGACCUGAGAGGGUGAUCGGCCACACUGGAACUGAGACACGGUCCAGACUCCUACGGGAGGCAGCAGUAGGGAAUCUUCCGCAAUGGGCGAAAGCCUGACGGAGCAACGCCGCGUGAGUGAUGAAGGUCUUCGGAUCGUAAAACUCUGUUAUUAGGGAAGAACAUAUGUGUAAGUAACUGUGCACAUCUUGACGGUACCUAAUCAGAAAGCCACGGCUAACUACGUG